CAUCACUACGCUAGAUGCAUAUCAAUAAGCGGAGGAAAAGAAACUAACAAGGAUUCCCUAGUAACGGCGAGUGAAGCGGGAAGAGCUCAAAUUUGAAAUCCUAAAGGUUUUCCCUUGACGAAUUGUAGUUUAAAGAAGUGUUUUCUGUUGAAGUUUCGGUAAAAGUUCUUUGGAAUAGGACAUCAUAGAGGGUGAGAAUCCCGUAUUUGAUCAGUUACUUUCAGCUGUGUGAUACACUUUCAAAGAGUCGGAUUGUUUGGGAAUGCAGUCCAAGAUGGGUGGUAAAUUUCAUCUAAAGCUAAAUAUUGGCGAGAGACCGAUAGCGAACAAGUACCGUGAGGGAAAGAUGAAAAGAACUUUGAAAAGAGAGUUAAACAGUACGUGAAAUUGUCAAAAGGGAAGCGUUUGACACCAGUGUUGUUUAGUUGAAAAUCAAUUCAAUAAUUUUUGAUUUUAAGUAGUAUUGACUUCAUCAGCUUGCUGCUUUCUUUUCGGAAAUUAUUGAAUGCACUUUUCAGUUAACAAGUCAACAUCAAUUUCUUUUGUUGUAAAAGGGUAAUAGGAAGGUGGCUUACUCUUCGGCGUAAGUGUUUAUAGCCUUUUAGCCUCUGCAAUCGGAGAGAUUGAGGUACAGCAGCGUAGACUCCUUCGGGGUUAGAUACACUUGUGCUAAGCUAUAGUCCUUGUAUAGACAACUUGUUGACUAUACUCAAUCAUGUAACUUACUCGCUUAUGCUAUUUUACCUACGCUUAGGAUGUUGACACACGCGCGUGCUCGACUCUAUACAUGACUCUGCGCAUAUCAAUAAGCGGAGGAAAAGGACUGCGGAACUGAACGACCGCUACCUACGCUUAGGAUGUUGACACACGCGCGUGCUCG
rnacentral:rRNA from 1 species